rnacentral:rRNA from 1 species
AGGAAAGCAGGGGAUCGCAAGACCUUGCGCUCUUGGAGCGGCCGAUGUCUGAUUAGCUAGUUGGUGAGGUAAAGGCUUACCAAGGCGACGAUCAGUAGCUGGUCUGAGAGGACGACCAGCCACACUGGGACUGAGACACGGCCCAGACUCCUACGGGAGGCAGCAGUGGGGAAUUUUGGACAAUGGGGGAAACCCUGAUCCAGCCAUGCCGCGUGAGUGAAGAAGGCCUUCGGGUUGUAAAGCUCUUUCAGCCGGAACGGAACGGUCACGGCUAAUACCUGUGAUCACUGACGGUACCGGAAGAAGAAGCACCGGCUAACUACGUGCCAGCAGCCGCGGUAAUACGUAGGGUGCAAGCGUUAAUCGGAAUUACUGGGCGUAAAGCGUGCGCGGGCGGUUUUGUAAGUCAGAUGUGAAAUCCCCGGGCUUAACCUGGGAACUGCGUUUGAAACUACAAAGCU